AUUUGUUUCCACACCUCUCUAGCUUUUAUAACAUCCUACCAGAGUUGGGCCUAGUUAGUUCUUGGAUGGGAGACCACCUAGGAAGACCAGGUGCUGUAGGUG
rnacentral:rRNA from 1 species